UAAUUGUUUUUUAUUUCAGGCCUUUGACUGAGACUGAGCGACUGUCUCCAGGUAAAUGAUGUGAGUGUGUUUGCAUAUUGAUCAGAUGCUUCAGUGCUCUGAGAGUGUUUAUAGUGCUGUGAGUUUAACACUUCAUCACUGACACACACAACAAUCUUCAUCAACAUGACCUUCAUCAUCAUCUUCAUCUGGACUCUCACAGCGUUUGCUCAAGAGUGUAGAGGACAGAUCAGCGUCACUCAGAGUCCCUCAACGACAGCAGCUCAACCAGGAGAAACAGUGAAGAUCAACUGUAGAACCAGCAGAGAUGUGUAUUACAGUAGUGGUUAUCAUUAUUUAGCCUGGUACUUACAGAAACCUGGAGAAGCUCCUAAACUCCUGAUUUAUUAUACAAGCACCCUCCAGUCAGGAACUCCAUCUAGAUUCAGUGGCAGUGGAUCUAACAGUGAUUUCACUCUGACCAUCAGUGGAGUCCAGACUGAAGAUGCUGGACAUUAUUACUGUCAGAGUUUACACUAUAUCAGUAGUAGCUGGGUGUUCACACAGUGAUUGUGAGUUGUACAAAAACCUCUGUCAGUCAGAGUCACAGUGACUGAACUGAUGCUGCAGCUGCUUAAAGGAGGAUCUGAAACAACAUCAUCACACAAACAU